rnacentral:rRNA from 1 species
UACGUAGGGGCGAGCGUUGUCCGGAUUUAUUGGGCGUAAAGGGUUCGCAGGCGGCCUUAUAAGUCAGAUGUGAAAUCCCAUGGCUUAACCAUGGUAAGCAUUUGAAACUGAAAGGCUUGAGUUAAGGAGAGGAAAGUGGAAUUCCUAGUGUAGCGGUGAAAUGCGUAGAUAUUCGGAGGAACACCAGUUGCGAAGGCGGCUCUCUGGACUGUAACUGACACUGAGGCACGAAAGCGUGGGGAGCAAACAGGAUUAGAUACCCUGGUAGUCCCU